rnacentral:rRNA from 1 species
CAGCCGCCGCGGGAAUACGAAGGGGGCUAGCGUUGUUCGGAAUUACUGGGCGUAAAGCGCACGUAGGCGGAUACUUAAGUCAGGGGUGAAAUCCCGGGGCUCAACCCCGGAACUGCCUUUGAUACUGGGUAUCUCGAGUCCGGAAGAGGUGAGUGGAAUUCCGAGUGUAGAGGUGAAAUUCGUAGAUAUUCGGAGGAACACCAGUGGCGAAGGCGACUGACUGGACAAGUAUUGACGCUGAGGUGCGAAAGCGUGGGGAGCAAACAGGAUUAGAUACCCCUGUAGUCCCUGUCUCUUAUAC